AUUGAACGCUGGCGGCAGGCUUAACACAUGCAAGUCGAGCGGAGAUGAGGUGCUUGCACCUUAUCUUAGCGGCGGACGGGUGAGUAAUGCUUAGGAAUCUGCCUAUUAGUGGGGGACAACAUUCCGAAAGGAAUGCUAAUACCGCAUACGUCCCACGGGAGAAAGCAGGGGAUCUUCGGACCUUGCGCUAAUAGAUGAGCCUAAGUCGGAGUAGCUAGUUGGUGGGGUAAAGGCCUACCAAGGCGACGAUCUGUAGCGGGUCUGAGAGGAGGAUCCGCCACACUGGGACUGAGACACGGCCCAGACUCCUACGGGAGGCAGCAGUGGGGAAUAUUGGACAAUGGGGGGAACCCUGAUCCAGCCAUGCCGCGUGUGUGAAGAAGGCCUUAUGGUUGUAAAGCACUUUAAGCGAGGAGGAGGCUACUGAGACUAAUACUCUUGGAUAGUGGACGUUACUCGCAGAAUAAGCACCGGCUAACUCUGUGCCAGCCGCCGCGGUAACAC
rnacentral:rRNA from 1 species